GACGAACACUGGCGGCGUGCCUCAUACAUGCAAGUCGACCUUAGUGGCGAACGGGUGAGUAACACGUGGGUAACCUGCCCAUCAGAAGGGGAUCACCCUUGGAAACAGGUGCUCAUACCGUAUACUGAUGGAUUGACCCGCGAUGCAUUAGCUAGUUGGUGAGGUAACGGCUCACCAAGGCCACGAUGCAUAGCCGACCUGAGAGGGGGAGCGGCCACAGUGGGACUGAGACACGGCCCAAACUCCUACGUGAGGCAGCAGUAGGGAAUCUUCGGCAAUGGACGAAAGUCUGACCGAGCAACGCCGCGUGAGUGAAGAAGGUUUUCGGAUCGUAAAACUCUUUUGUUAGAGAAGCGGUAUCUAACCAGAAAGCCACGGCUAACUACGUGCCAGCAGCCGCGGUAAUAC
rnacentral:rRNA from 1 species